rnacentral:ribozyme from 1 species
CAAAGUAAGCGGGUGGGAUAGGAAUGGGAAUGGAGAAUGGAGGCUAUGAAAAGGAAUAUGAUAUUAAUAUAGCAGGAU